rnacentral:tRNA from 1 species
GCGCUGGUGGUGUAAGGCGAACAUCGCUGCCCGGAAAGCAGAAGAUGCGGGUUCUAGUCCCGCCUGGCGCA